UAGACGAAACUCUAUUUUAUCAAAAAUGCUUAAGUAUUUUCCAGUGUGACUCCUGUUGAAGCCGAGGCGAAUAGCUGAAACACGUAGCAUUUCAUCUCUUUUUUGCCUCACCAUUGUACGGAAACCAUGUAGCUGUACGGAUGUGUAAAGAAUGCUGCUGAAUGUAGCUGGAACAGAACAUAUUGGAAUUUUAGCGUCAGGACAUCUUGCUGGUUGGACGAUUAAACAUCCCUCUGUUGGGACACAGACAUUGUGUCUAGUUUGAUCUUUAGAUUAUUUCUGGGAUAAUAACUUUGCCACCAACACUGUGACUUUGAUAACUAGCAGUUGAACAGCCUUUCAAUUCUAAACAAAAGGAGUCAUGUUGACAUGACACUAUAUGGCUGGUAUUGGAGUAGGUAAUGCUGUUUGUGUGCAGAAUAUGUCUCUGAGAAGGGGUUCUAUUAUGGUAGGAGUAUCGUGUUUUACUACAGGCUGACCAGAAUCACAAACACAUCGAUUGAAAACUUUCAUCAAUUUCAACAAUUGGUUAAAAAUCAUUUUCUAGGCUGUUUGUGGUAAAGUAUAUUAUAUUAUAGCUAUGAAUUCAUAUAAUCCCAUCAAAUUGAAAUGAUUGUACCAAUUUGUAUCUACCGUUGUCGAAGCUUUGUAAACUAUAGGUUCCUAAAGACAUAGACAGACAUACACAUAAACUAACACUGCAACUUCGAAGACUAGCAGUUGAACAGCCUUUAAAUUUCAAACAAAAGGAGUUGUGGUAAUUGUAUGAUUUGUACACAUUUCUAAAUAACCUAUUAUUUAUCUAGAUUUAUCCAUUGAUAUGACACUUACUAUGGAUGGUCACGGAGUAAUGUUCGAAGUAUCGUGUUUUAGGACAGGUUGAUGAGAAUCAAACACAUUGUAUAUUAUAGUAUGGUAAGCAACAUUUUGGAUUCACGUGGGCAGAGAAUACUUUAAUAGUAAUAGGAAUGGUUAUGGUAAUGCCAAUUUUUAUAAUAUAUUAUAUUUAUAAUAAUAUGUAAAUCAAUUUUAUAAAUAUAGGGUAUAUUACAUUGCAAUAAUGAAUGUUAGUUAUCCCACCAAAUGGAUAAUAAUUGUACGUUUUACUUUGUUUAAUUGUACUUUGUAAGCCAUAGGUCUUCUACUUAGCUUAUUUUCAGUGAACAGGAAAAGUUGGCUUCGUAAUUUCCCAACAAUGUUAAAUUUACUUUAAGUUAGAACAGUUGAAAUAUCAAUUAGAUUCACAUGUGCAGGGUAAAUUUUUUUAUAGUGUUUUGCAGGUAAAAGAACAGCCUGGUUGCAAACUUUUACCCAUUUCGUGGCAAUGAAUGUAUUUCUGAUCCAGUCUUCAAUACCCACAAAUGCCAAGGUACACAGACAUUUCUAAACUGAAACUGUUAAUCUGGAAAAAAAAAAAAACAACUUGCAAACCAGCUUGUUCCCUUCAUAAAAAAAACUUGCUUUAGUCAGUCCUGGAGAUCACUUUUUUUUGUCAAGAAAAUACUGGAAAUUGGUAUUGAGAAGGUUGUUAACAGAAAGUUUUUGUAUUUUGUCAGGUCAUUCCUACGUUUAACAUGGUUGUUUAGAAAUGCCAUGGAAUCAAAAAGCACUUGACAAAAAACAUUUUGAUUGUUCUCGUACCUGUAUUAGAUGGAAAUUACUUGUGCAAUGGUACCAACCCAUUAAUGAAAACCAUGUAUUCAACCAUGGAAUGUUGACCAGCUACCUGCAGAGUGAAAAUCUACUUGACAGCGUUCAAUACGAUAGAAAUUUAAGGCCCGGCAAAACAAUAAGCACGACUUUUACCUAAAAAAAUUAAUAUCACUAAAACUAAAUAACUAUACAUCAUUUAGAUGCUAAAUUUACCAAGA